rnacentral:lncRNA from 1 species
UUUCGCUAGAAGGGUCUGUCUAGGACAUCAGCCUGCCACAGUUCUGGGCUGUGUCUGUUACUGCCUUGCUUACCCUGCCCCCACCCAUAACUUCAGAGAAAGGAAAAAGGCCUGGGCCUCAGCACCCACACACCAUGGCUGCCUUGAAUCCAGAGUCAUCAAUACUGGAGUCUUAAAGAGAAAACCAAGAAAGUCUCAUGUCACCAAGCAGGCUGAAGAGGGCAAGGAAACGCUGAGGCAGCCAAGAUCUCUGGUGGAAAUCCAAAACAUCAGUUCUAUGUAUUCAGGGGAUACUUUUUUCAAACAAUCUGCAGAACAUUGGGAGAUGAUGCGGUUAAAAUAUCAUCUUCAUAGAGAUGAGGUCAUGACUAUAAAUACAAUCUUUUAAAGCAUCAAUGAAAAGUCCUCCUCUUGAAGGGCAGUUGCUUGCAAGGGGACGUCACUGUCUCUGAGAGCUUCAAACUUUUGGAUAUUCAGAUUGUGUCUAGAAGAAAAUAUCACUCCUUCUUAAACUGU